GCCUGGCUAACUCAAUUGGCAGAGUGUCAGACUCUUAUCAUCUUAAGUUUGAUCUGAAGAUUUCUUCAUUAUCUGAAAGCUGCGGGUUCGACCCCCGCGUCGGGCU
rnacentral:tRNA from 1 species